rnacentral:rRNA from 1 species
ACUGAACGCUGUCGGCAGGCCUAAUACAUGCAAGUCGGGCGAGCGGCGGACGGGUGAGCAAUGUAUGGGGAUCUGCCUGAUGGCCGGGGAUAACUACUGGAAACGGUAGUUAACACCGCAUCCCGACAGACGUACUCAGAUGGGAUUAGCUUGUAGGUGAGGUAACGGAUCACCUAGGGGACGAUCCCUACCAGGUCUGAGAGGAUGAUCGGCGAAACGGGGACGGAGACACGGCCCAGACUCCUACGGAAGGCAGCAGUAGGGAAUAUUGCGCAAUGGGCGCAAGCCUGAUGCAGCCAUGCCGCGUGUAUGAAGAAGGCAUUAGGAUAGUAAAGUACUUGCAGCAGGGAGGCGUUACCCACAGGAGAAGCACCGGCUAACUCCGUGCCAGCAGCCGCGGUAAUAC